rnacentral:misc_RNA from 1 species
GUACAUUGCUGUUGAGUUUGCUUCUAUAUGGCGAGGAAUGGGUUCAACGGUGGAUCUAUGUUUCAGAAAGGAACUCCCAUUGAGAGGUUUUGAUGAUGAAAUGCGAGCUGUAGUUGCAAGAAAUCUAGAAGGCAGAGGAAUCACUAUGCAUCCUUGCACGACAUUGACUAAGCUUGAAAAAGCAGAAGGUGGCAUCAAAGUGCACACAGACCAUGGUGAAGUGAUAUUGGCAGAUGUUGUGCUCGUUGCAACUGGUCGUCUCCCUAACACAAAAAGGUUGAAUCUGGAUGCUGUUGGUGUCGAGCUUGACAACAUGAAAGCGGUGAAGGUAGAUGAGUACUCACGCACCAAUAUACCCAGCAUUUGGGCCAUUGGUGAUGUCACCAAUCGAAUGAAUCUCACUCCUGUUGCUUUGAUGGAAGGAACCUGUUUUGCGAAAACUGUUUUCGGUGGAAAGCCUACCAAGCCUGACUACUCACAUAUCCCAUGUGCUGUGUUCUGCAUCCCGCCUCUCUCUGUUGUGGGGUUCAGCGAAGAACAGGCCAUAGAGCAAAUAAAUGGAGAAGUUUCAGUUUACACAUCAUCAUUCAAUCCAAUGAAGAACACCAUAUCUGGACGAACAGAGAAGUCAGUAAUGAAGCUUCUUGUUGAUGCCCAGACAGAUAAAGUUAUAGGGGCAUCCAUGUGCGGUCCAGAUGCACCUGAAAUCAUGCAGGGCAUUGCCGUUGCACUAAAGUGUGGAGCAACCAAGGAGCAGUUUGACAGUACAGUGGGAAUACAUCCUUCUGCCGCAGAAGAGUUUGUGACCAUGCGUUCAGAGUCGAGGCGCAUUUCUUCAAACAAACCAAAGACAAACCUCUGAGGAACCAAAGAUGUGAUAAAACCAUAUUGCCACAUAAAAAAAAGGGUGAUUUCAUGAGGAAAAAAAAAGAACACCUACAUUCAGUAUUUACUUCAUAGUAUUAGCUACAUGGUGCGAUUUUGUUUUUGUGAUUUUGAAUACGUUUGUGAGGACCAACAGAGAAAUAUCUGCAUGUUGAAUAAACAGUAGCGCUUGGGUCUUUUGAUAAUUGUACUAGCAGCAAGUUUCAAGCAGUGAUUUGGUGUUAAUAUAUCCCCAAUCUGAGUUGAGAAAAUAGUCUCUCUACCACCACGAGGUAGGGGUAAGUCUAUGUACACUUCAACCCUCAUCAGAUCCUAGCUGUG